GCCCAAGGUCAACAGCACACUGAGACCUGGAGUGGGCUGCAGGAGCUGGCUGACCUAGCACCUUCCAAACUGGCGCUGGGAAGCCAAGAACCAGCC